UCCAAAAUUGCCUAUUCUUAGCAAGAUGGCUCGUGAUAUUCUUGCAAUUCCAGCUACUACUGUGGCAUCGGAAUCAGCAUUUAGCGUUGCCGGAAGGGUAAUUGAUGAGACCCGUGCUACUUUGCUUCCUGAUGUGGUCGAAGCUUUGAUAACAACUGGAGAUUGGUUACCUUUGAAAAAGAAAAGAAAAGUAUUUGGAGAAGAUUUGGGUGAUUCUUCUAAAGUUCCCAAGUUAGGGUGAUGUAUUUGAAAAAUUGUGAAACAUGAGAGCCAUGAAGACUAUUGUAAUCUACAGGACUUCAUUAGUUGGUUGAUGUAUUUGGAAUUUAUGUUUGAUUGGACUUUUUAGAAAUUGUAAUUUGUUGGAUGUCAUAUUGGCUUUGUUGCUAAUAUUGGCUUUGUUGAAAUUGUAAUUUGUUGGA